AUACGGAGGAUCCGAGCGUUAUCCGGAUUUAUUGGGUUUAAAGGGUGCGCAGGCGGGAGAUUAAGUCGGCGGUGAAAUUUUGCAGCUCAACUGUAAAAGGGCCUUCGAUACUGGUUUCCUUGAGUGUGGAAGAAGUAGGCGGAAUUUGUGGUGUAGCGGUGAAAUGCUUAGAUAUCACGAGGAACUCCGAUGGCGCAGGCAGCUUACUAAAACCGUACUUACGAUCAGGAACGAAGGCGUGGGGAUCAAGCAGGGUUAGAUUCCCUGGUAGUCCACGCAGUAAACGGUGAUUACUGGCUGAUUGCGAUAGAAUGUAAGCGCCUGAGCGAAAGCGUUAAGUAAUCCACCUGGGGAGUACGUUCGCAAGAUUGAAACUCAAAUGAAUUGACGGGG
rnacentral:rRNA from 1 species